AAAAAAAAUAUUUUGAAAUCAUUAUUAUGAGUAUUAUUAUUUACUUAACUAUAAUUAUUCCAAUUUAUAUAUAAUUACUUUUGUUUAAUUUACAUUUUUCGGUUUGUAGCUUUGCAGUGUAGAGUUUAAUAAAAUCAUGUCACUAACGCAUACUGUUGCCAUUUGAUUACAAAACACUUAAAUAAACGUAAAAGGUAUAAAACAAUUAAAAUAGAUUUUUCAUUCAUUUUUCCCGAAUUAUUUUAUAUUCCUUUAAUAUAUAUUUUUUUUAAAUACAAAAAAUCAUGUAGGGUUGAUUUAUGUAAUAAUUUUAAAAGUAGGUAUCUACUUUUGUUCAUUUUUUUUAGUAUAAUAGGCAAGAUAAUUAUAAAUUCCCAUCUGUUAAGUGACCAUGUAUUACAGUUGUUGGAAACACUAUUUUAAAGAUAGAAAACAUGUUAAAAGAUUGAAAGGUUAUUAUAUCAAAACAUUUUUUUGUUAUAAAUAUAUAGGAUUU